AAACAAAACCUUGUAUUACAGUCACAGUCAUACCGGGUAAACAAAACCUUGUAUUACAGUCAUACCGGGUAAACAAAACCUUGUAUUACAGUCACAGUCAUACCGGGUAAACAAAACCUUGUAUUACAGUCACAGUCAUACCGGGUAAACAAAACCUUGUAUUACAGUCACAGUCAUACCGGGUAAACAAAACCUUGUAUUACAGUCAUACCAGGUAAACAAAACCUUGUAUUACAGUCACAGUCAUACCGGGUAAACAAAACCUUGUAUUACAGUCACAGUCAUACCGGGUAAACAAAACCUUGUAUUACAGUCACAGUCAUACCGGGUAAACAAAACCUUGUAUUACAGUCACAGUCAUACCGGGUAAACAAAACCUUGUAUUACAGUCACAGUCAUACCGGGUAAACAAAACCUUGUAUUACAGUCAUACCG